rnacentral:rRNA from 1 species
GAUGAACGCUGGCGGCGUGCUUAACACAUGCAAGUCGAGCGAAGCGCUUUACUUUGAUUUCUUCGGAUUGAAGAGUUUUGCGACUGAGCGGCGGACGGGUGAGUAACGCGUGGGUAACCUGCCUCAUACAGGGGGAUAACAGUUAGAAAUGGCUGCUAAUACCGCAUAAGACCACGGUACCGCAUGGUACAGAGGUAAAAACUCCGGUGGUAUGAGAUGGACCCGCGUCUGAUUAGGUAGUUGGUGGGGUAACGGCCCACCAAGCCGACGAUCAGUAGCCGACCUGAGAGGGUGACCGGCCACAUUGGGACUGAGACACGGGCCCAAACUCCUACGGGAGGCAGCAGUGGGGAAUAUUGCACAAUGGGGGAAACCCUGACUGCAGCGACGCCGCGUGAAGGAUGAAGUA